rnacentral:rRNA from 1 species
UACGUAGGGGGGCUAGCGUUGUCCGGAAUCAUUGGGCGUAAAGAGCGUGUAGGCGGUCCGGUAAGUCCGCUGUGAAAGUCGGGGGCUCAACCCUCGAAUGCCGGUGGAUACUGUCGGGGCUAGAGUGCGGAAGAGGCGAGUGGGAAUUCCUGGUGUAGCGGUGAAAUGCGCAGAUAUCAGGAGGAACACCUAUUGCGAAGGCAGCUCGCUGGGACGUAACUGACGCUGAGACGCGAAAGCGUGGGGAGGCAAACAGG